rnacentral:rRNA from 1 species
GAUGAACGCUAGCGACAGGCUUAACACAUGCAAGUCGAGGGGCAGCACAGGGUAGCAAUACUUGGGUGGCGACCGGCGCACGGGUGAGUAACGCGUAUGCAACUUACCUAUCAGAGGGGGAUAGCCCGGCGAAAGUCGGAUUAAUACCCCAUGAAACAGGGGUCCCGCAUGGGAAUAUUUGUUAAAGAUUCAUCGCUGAUAGAUAGGCAUGCGUUCCAUUAGGCAGUUGGCGGGGUAACGGCCCACCAAACCGACGAUGGAUAGGGGGUUCUGAGAGGAAGGUCCCCCACAUUGGUACUGAGACACGGACCAAACUCCUACGGGAGGCAGCAGUGAGGAAUAUUGGUCAAUGGCCGAGAGGCUGAACCAGCCAAGUCGCGUGAAGGAAGAAGGAUCUAUGGUUUGUAAACUUCUUUUAUAGGGGAAUAAAGUGGAGGACGUGUCCUUUUUUGUAUGUACCCUAUGAAUAAGCAUCGGCUAACUCCGUG